GCCGGGUGUGGUGGCACACGCCUAUAAUCCCAGCUGCUUUGGAGGCUGAGGCAGGAGGAUCACAAGUUCAAAGCCAGCCCCGGCAAUUUAGCAAGGCCCUAAGCAACUCAGCAAGACCCUGUCUCUA
rnacentral:sRNA from 1 species